rnacentral:rRNA from 1 species
UACGUAGGGUGCAAGGCGUUGCCCGGAUUUAUUGGGCGUAAAAGGGCGCGUAGGCGGGUGAUCGAGUCUGGGGUGAAUCCUCUCGCUUAACGAGAGAACUGCCCUGGAUACUGGUCAUCUCAGGAAGGUAGGGGCUGUGGAACUUCGGUGGAGCGGUGAAAUGCGUAGAUAUCGGAAGGAACGCCCGGUGGCGAAAGCGACGUGC